UACGGGGGGGGCAAGCGUUGCUCGGAAUUACUGGGCGUAAAGGGCUCGUAGGUGGCCAACUAAGUCAGACGUGAAAUCCCUCGGCUUAACCGGGGAACUGCGUCUGAUACUGGAUGGCUUGAGUUUGGGAGAGGGACGCGGAAUUCCAGGUGUAGCGGUGAAAUGCGUAGAUAUCUGGAGGAACACCGGUGGCGAAGGCGGCAUCCUGGACCAUGACUGACGCUGAGGAGCGAAAGCCAGGGGAGCAAACGGG
rnacentral:rRNA from 1 species